rnacentral:rRNA from 1 species
AGUGAACGCUGGCGGUAGGCCUAACACAUGCAAGUCGAACGGCAGCACAGUAAGAGCUUGCUCUUACGGGUGGCGAGUGGCGGACGGGUGAGGAAUACAUCGGAAUCUACUUUUUCGUGGGGGAUAACGUAGGGAAACUUACGCUAAUACCGCAUACGACCUACGGGCGAAAGCAGGGGAUCUUCGGACCUUGCGCGAUUGAAUGAGCCGAUGUCGGAUUAGCUAGUUGGCGGGGUAAAGGCCCACCAAGGCGACGAUCCGUAGCUGGUCUGAGAGGAUGAUCAGCCACACUGGAACUGAGACACGGUCCAGACUCCUACGGGAGGCAGCAGUGGGGAAUAUUGGACAAUGGGCGCAAGCCUGAUCCAGCCAUACCGCGUGGGUGAAGAAGGCCUUCGGGUUGGAAAGCCCUUUUGUUGGGAAAGAAAAGCAGCAGGUUAAUACCCCGCUGUUCUGACGGUACCCAAAGAAUAAGCACCGGCUAACUUCGUG